rnacentral:rRNA from 1 species
GAUCAUGGCUCAGGAUGAACGCUGGCGGCGUGCUUAACACAUGCAAGUCGAACGAAGCACUCUGAUCACUUCGGUUCGAAGAGUGACUGAGUGGCGGACGGGUGAGUAACGCGUGGGUAACCUGCCUCAUACAGGGGGAUAACAGUUAGAAAUGGCUGCUAAUACCGCAUAAGCGCACAGUACCGCAUGGUACGGUGUGAAAAACUCCGGUGGUAUGAGAUGGACCCGCGUCUGAUUAGCUAGUUGGUGAGGUAACGGCUCACCAAGGCGACGAUCAGUAGCCGACCUGAGAGGGUGACCGGCCACAUUGGGACUGAGACACGGCCCAAACUCCUACGGGAGGCAGCAGUGGGGAAUAUUGCACAAUGGGCGAAAGCCUGAUGCAGCGACGCCGCGUGAACGAAGAAGUAUUUCGGUAUGUAAAGUUCUAUCAGCAGGGAAGAAAAUGACGGUACCUGACUAAGAAGCACCGGCUAAAUACGUG